rnacentral:rRNA from 1 species
UAGGGAAUCUUCGGCAAUGGACGGAAGUCUGACCGAGCAACGCCGCGUGAGUGAAGAAGGUUUUCGGAUCGUAAAGCUCUGUUGUUAGAGAAGAACGUUGGCAGGAGUGGAAAAUCUACCAAGUGACGGUAACUAACCAGAAAGGGACGGCUAACUACGUGCCAGCAGCCGCGGUAAUACGUAGGCCCCGAGCGUUGUCCGGAUUUAUUGGGCGUAAAGCGAGCGCAGGCGGUUCUUUAAGUCUGAAGUUAAAGGCAGUGGCUUAACCAUUGUACGCUUUGGAAACUGGAGGACUUGAGUGCAGAAGGGGAGAGUGGAAUUCCAUGUGUAGCGGUGAAAUGCGUAGAUAUAUGGAGGAACACCGGUGGCGAAAGCGGCUCUCUGGUCUGUAACUGACGCUGAGGCUCGAAAGCGUGGGGAGCAAACAGG